rnacentral:rRNA from 1 species
UACGAAGGGGGGCUAGCGUUGCUCGGAAUGACUGGGCGUAAAGAGCGCGUAGGCGGUCUGUUAAGUGUGAAGUGAAAUCUCCAGGGCUCAACCCGGAAACUGCUUCGCAUACUGGCAGACUUGGAGAUGCAGAGGUUUGUGGAAUUCCUGGUGUAACGGUGAAAUGUGUUGAUAUCAGGAGGAACACCCAUGGCGAAGGCAGCAAACUGGGCAUUAUCUGACGCUGAGGCGCGAAAGCGUGGGUAGCAAACAGG